rnacentral:rRNA from 1 species
UACGUAGGGUGCAAGCGUUAAUCGGAAUUACUGGGCGUAAAGCGUGUGCAGGCGGGGUGACAAGUGGUGUAUGAAAUCUCCGGGCUAAACCUGGAGGGGUUAUGCCAGACUGUCAUUCUAGAGUGCGAGAGAGGGGCGUGGAAUUCCGGGUGUAGUGGUGAAAUGCGUAGAGAUCCGGAGGAACACCAGUGGCGAAGGCGGCUUCCUGGUCUGCGACUGACGCUGUGGCGCGAAAGCUAGGGGAGCGAACGGG